CCUACGGGUGGCAGCAGUGAGGAAAAUUGGUCAAUGGACGAGAGUCUGAACCAGCCAAGUAGCGUGAAGGAUGACUGCCCUAUGGGUUGUAAACUUCUUUUAUAUGGGAAUAAAAUGUUCCACGUGUGGGAUUUUGUAUGUACCAUAUGAAUAAGGAUCGGCUAACUCCGUGCCAGCAGCCGCGGUAAUACGGAGGAUCCGAGCGUUAUCCGGAUUUAUUGGGUUUAAAGGGAGCGUAGGUGGAUUGUUAAGUCAGUUGUGAAAGUUUGCGGCUCAACCGUAAAAUUGCAGUUGAAACUGGCAGUCUUGAGUACAGUAGAGGUGGGCGGAAUGCGUGGUGUAGCGGUGAAAUGCUUAGAUAUCACGAAGAACUCCGAUUGCGAAGGCAGUUCACUGGACUGCAACUGACACUGAGGCUCGAAAGUGUGGGUAUCAAACAGGAUUAGAUACCCUUGUAGUC
rnacentral:rRNA from 1 species